rnacentral:rRNA from 1 species
UACAGAGGGUGCAAGCGUUGUUCGGAAUUAUUGGGCGUAAAGGGUGCGUAGGCGGUUUGGUAAGUCUGAUGUGAAAUCUAUGGGCUCAACUCAUAGUCUGCAUCGGAAACUGCCGGGCUUGAGUGUGGGAGAGGUGAGUGGAAUUCCUGGUGUAGCGGUGAGAUGCGUAGAUAUCAGGAGGAACACCUGUGGCGAAAGCGGCUCACUGGACCAUAACUGACGCUGAUGCACGAAAGCUAGGGGAGCAAACAGG